GGUUCAUGGUAAGGCCAGCCCUGGUGGACAGACCACUCAACACAAGCUCCGAGUGUUACUCUAUGGCAUAAAGACCUUGUGUGGUCCUCCAGAGUAUAAGCAGGGAAGCAGUGAAUAGGAAUAGGGGUUUGAUUUUGCCUCUGUGUAAGGCAUUGGUGAUGUAACAGUCAGCAGCAACUCCCAUCCACCCCCUUAACAGCUAGCAGCCGUUAUGGCAGCCAGCAGCCAUUAGGGGAAAGCAAACACCUCAAGUACACUGUAGCCUGAACUUUUCAACUGUCUUCCCUUUCAAGGCCUUGAGGUAGUUGGAGCUGGUCCCAAAGUGGUUUUCACUAACCAAAUAGCAAAAGUACAGGGUCUGUUCACACAAACAGGGCCUGUGUUUAAGUGUAUAAACAAUCUUUGGCUUUUGUACGAGUUAAAGUUUUUGUACCAAGGUGCAAAGCUCUCCUUUCUUCUGCAAAAUAAAGCAACCUUUUCCUUAUCCCUGUCUGUUGUUGGCUCUCAGCUAGGUGGACCCAACAUUUCGGUAACAGUUUUUGGCACCCCAGAUGGGACCCUCCUAGCUCGAACAUUGAACUCCGGACAGCUGUGGCGAACUAGGAACGGUGCCAAUGGGGUGCUUAGCCCCUUUUCCUCACUUCACCGCAGCCCCUGGGGUUCGUGCUCCAAUAAGGUGUGUGGGCGGAACAAAGCUUCUCGUUCAUAAUUCCUCGGGGUGAAAGCCACAGCGUGCAAGAAAGCCCUAAGGUCGAAUUAAAAUUCUUCUGUCCCGUCCCCUGUAACAGUUGGGAAUCCAGAAUAAUUGCUGCACUCUGCAAUGGAACCUCUGGGAGCAACAACUGUUUUCCUGGUGAUUUGUGUCUCUUCCCUUCUUUUCCUUUCGGUAUGGAGAAAGAUGUCUGGAAGUGGGAAGCUGCCUCCUGGGCCUGUUGCUUUUCCCAUUAUAGGGAACAUGCUGCAGCUGAAUAUGAAGAACUUGCCCCAACAUAUAGAUGAGCUCAGUGCAAAGUAUGGCCCAAUUUUCACAAUAUACUUAGGCUCAGAACGGGUUGUGGUGCUGUAUGGACAUGAGAUUGUGAAGGAAGCUCUGAUCGGUCUCGGGGAUGAGUUCAGUGGAAGAGGAAGUAUGCCGAUAUUUGAAAAAUCCGCCAAGGGAAGAGGUACCUUUCAAGUAACUUCAGCAUAUAGAGGAGAACACAAUUGCAAAGACAAAAGGGAAACAGCUGGAGUUUCAUUCAUACAGUAAUAAAAAUUGGAUAAAUAGUCUUGGUUUCAGGAAAGAGCCUCUUCCCUAUUGUGCCACUGUU